AUAAAAGACCAAGUCUUCAAAGCAAUUAGAUCCCCAAAUCAGCUAGAAACUCUGCUGAGAAAUAUACUCGUAUUCCAAGAUUAUUCUUAUAUAACAAGAUUACAAAGAAGAAGUUUCUCUGCUGAGAUUACUAUAUUAAAAUCUCAUAACAUUAAAUUUCGUUGGAACUCCUCAGCGACUCUAAGUGUAUAUGGCGAUAAUAGAUGGAAUUUCUACAAAACACCCCAAGAAGUCAGACAGUGGAUUGAACGAAGAAUCCUAAAUGCAUAAAGAGCACCAUAAUAAGAACAAACCCGGAAUAGAACGGAAGAAGAAAAUAAGUUAAAGGAACUUUUUUUUCUUUUUUUUCAUCCUUUCUUUUCUCCUAUUAUUGCUGCCUGAUAUGGCCUCCUUACGAGGCCUGUGAUAAUAGAUAGUAGGGAUGGUUAUAUAAAGAUGCACAGAAGCACAUAAAAUACAUAUUUAAAAAAAAUAAAAAUAAAUUAUAUAUACAUGAUUAUUAAUAUUAAAUACACUAUCUAACUACUAUGUAUGAGAAUAGAAUAUGCUUAGAAUAAACGAGUACGAGGUGAUAUUAUAAUAGAAGGAGAUAUAAGAGGGUUUUAAGUCACAGAUAAUAAGAUAAACAAUAUUUGUUAUAAAGACAUGGAACAUAUAUAUUCAUAAACACUAUAGAAAAACAGGUUGGGUAUUUGAGACGUGACACUGGAGGAAUACGGUUAGAUGUGAGGGAGACAAAAGGAGAAAAGGGCAGGUAAGAGGAAGCAAUUUUUUUUUUGCCUUAUAUAGCCUCCUUUUAAGAUUGGUGGUAAUAGAUAGACAGGAUGGAUUUAUAUAGUCACAUGUAAAGAUACAAAACACUUAAUUUUUAAAAAUAAUUACUCACGCACUAUUAAAGAUUCAAAUUCUAAUACAUUUUUUAAUUAACUUACACAGAAUAUAAUAAGUUAGAAUUAGAGAUCACCAAUUGAGGCCAUAGUAUAAGAGAGCUUUAAGGUGUAGAUGCCAAGACAAUAAAUGAUUUAUAGUAUUACAAAUAUAUGACAUGUAUACGCACAACAAGACGCAUGGAUGAAUGGAAAUGUGCAAGUUUUUUUAUUUUUUAUAAACAUACAUACAAAUAAGGUGGAGUCUCUUCUUGUUAAUAUUUAAAACAAUUUCUUGAGUAAGUAUCCUCCUAGUGAUAAAAUACAAAAAGGCAAACAAUAGUGCAAUAUUGCCAGUAUUAAAUCUUAGAAUGUGGAUAAUUAUUGGAAAUACACUAACAAAGUUGGAGCCCGAAAUAUAAGGCUCAAAUAUCCAGCUCUGUGGAGUAUAGAGGUCCCCAUUUCCUUCUUUGGAAGGGUAAGGUGGUUCCAAAAAAUCGAAUAUUUCCUUGUGGUUUAAUAGUAGUAUAAAGUGCUUUAUUGUAACAUGC